UAAAUAUCAUGGGACAUCGCAGAUGUUCCUCAAGGUUUUUGAUUGAAAUCUUUGAAGAAUUUCAAUAUUUGAGUUAUCAGCGGUUCCCCAUAGUUGAAUUCCAUAUUCCCAUGUAGGCUUCAAAAUUGCUUUGCGUAUAAGAAGUUUGUUUUCCAGACUAAUAAGCUUAGAUGUUCUCCCAAUAAGCCAAUAUAUCUAAGCCAGCUAUCUGAUUCUCUCCUUUAAGUAGAUUGUCUUGAAUUGGAUGUGUUGUCUCCAUGUCAGUCUUUUAUCCAAUACCAUACCUAAGUAUUUGACCGAAUCUUUGGUUGGUAUAACUGCUCCAUUUGUGGUAACAGGAGGACAUGUGCGCUUACGCAACGUGAAGGCUAUAUGCGCUGAUUUAUUUUCAUUAAUGUUGAUUCGCCACUUUUGGCAUCAUCUUUCUAGCACGUGCAGAUGACGUUGGAGAAUUUCAGUCUCAUUUUGAUUCUGUUCGAUGCUAACAGAGUUGUUUCAUCCGCAAAUAUAACCGUGGUUAUCUCUCAUCUGAGAUGGCUAAAUCUGCCGUGUAAAUUGUUUAUAAUAAUGGCCCUGGUACACUGUUUUGUGGGACACUGGAUAAGAUUGGAAAAGUUAGGAUGAAUUGGUUUAAAUACUUCACUUGGAUUAUGUUGAAAGGAUAUGAUUUUGAGAUAUAUGACGAAUUACACGAUGAAUUUACUCAAUGGUGAAAUGACGUUUUCCGAAACCCAAAUUGAUGCUCAGGGAAUGUUGGGGUAUCUAGUGUUUCGAAGGGACGAUUAAUUAACAUUUUUUGUUCAAAUAAUUUCAACAAUGUAGAUAAGAUUGAUUGAUCGAUAUGACGUAACUUCAUGUGCUGAUUUUUCUGGCUUAUGAAUGAGGGUUAUUACAGCUACUUUCUAGAAAGUUGGAUAGUAACCUAAAAUGGUGUUGAACAUUGAAAUUUACGUUUGUAGCGAUUGUUAAUUUGAUCUCCAUCGUAGUAAAGGGUUUAAUUUGUUGAGACAUUUGAUAUGGGGCGUUCAGGAAAUUUGUGAUUUCUUCUUCAAAGAGUGAAGUGGUGGGAAAUGGUUUAAAUACAUCUGCUAGGUGUUUGGCAGAAAGAUUUGAUGUAUCUUUUGAUCUUCUGACCCAUUCACUUAGUGGAUGGUGGGAUUUUUCACUGCAAGAGCUAAGUUCUUUAGAAAUUUUUGGAGAUCUUCAUUUUUGAAUUUAAAACUGAAAACCUGUUAGCAGUUGGAAAUACUGUUUCUGGUCUUUUGUUCAUAGGGAUAGUUACAUGUCUUGGAGAAGUUACCAUUUGUCAUGUUGGAUUGAAAUUUGAUGUUGACAUAUCCUGAUCAAGGAUAUAUGAAGGCUAGAACGCGACUAAUUAUGUGAUUUUUUUCCAGAAAUUUGAUAAUCAAUUUGACGAUUGAUUAUGACAGUUGGAAAGGAAAUGAACAAAAUACAGAUAUAUGAGUAUAAUAUGUCAGAAAUUUGAUGAUACAUUUUAUGAUUAAAAAAAGAUAGAUGGAAAGAGGAAUUGGAAAAAAAAAGAGUAUGAUAUUUUAAAAGUUAUAUAAAAGUCCAUUGUUAAGCACUCCUGCUUGUGGGUAAAUCAUAUGAAAGGAAUACGUCAUCCUCGUAGCUUGAAAAUUCUUAAUCGGAAAUUUGCAAUGACCUGUACCAUUUAAAAGGUUAACUUUUACAGAACAGCUCUCAUGAAGCCAAUACGUAUCGUGUACAAUAACGAAACACGCAAUUUGUAUAUAGAUAGAUCAGUUACAUGAACACAAUUACAAAUAUACUUGUGUGCGUGUAUGUUCCAAUACUUUUUCUUCGAACGAGUACAAAUCGAUGUAACUCGAUAUUUCAUUCCAUUAAAAAAUAUUGCAGUUGAAUAAUAGAUAUCAAUAUAUGACUAACUUCUUAAUUAAUUGACAUUUAGUUGAGAUUUUUUUGUUUUCUUUUUUUUAUAUAGUAAAGUAACGUUUUUAAACAAUCAUCAAAAUUAUUAACAUUAGGUAUUAAUAAACUCGAAAAUAUGAAUGAAA
rnacentral:lncRNA from 1 species